GACGAACGCUGGCGGCGUGCCUAACACAUGCAAGUCGAGCGGGGAUUUAAGUGGAAGUUCUUCGGAAUGGAGAUUUAAAUUCUAGCGGCGGACGGGUGAGUAACGCGUGAACAAUCUGUCCCGGACAGGGGGAUAACACUUGGAAACAGGUGCUAAUACCGCAUAAGACCACGGCCUCGCAUGGGGCUGAGGUAAAAGGAGCAAUCCGGUUCGGGGUGAGUUCGCGUCCGAUUAGCUAGUUGGUGAGGUAACGGCCCACCAAGGCGGCGAUCGGUAGCCGGCCUGAGAGGGUGAACGGCCACAUUGGAACUGAGAGACGGUCCAAACUCCUACGGGAGGCAGCAGUGGGGAAUAUUGGGCAAUGGGCGAAAGCCUGACCCAGCAACGCCGCGUGAGGGAAGAAGGUUUUCGGAUUGUAAACCUCUGUCCUAUGGGACGAAGGAAGUGACGGUACCAUAGGAGGAAGCCCCGGCUAACUACGUG
rnacentral:rRNA from 1 species